UCCUUAGGAAAAGCCUAAGAUUAGAGAUCCAGAACUCUUACACCUUCAUUUUUCUGCAGGAGAAGUGAGAUGUGAGGCUCCCAAUAACAAAUUGGACAAAUUCUCAGGAAUACUGACCUAUAAGGGGAAAAACUACUUCCUGGACCAUGACAAGCUGCUACUCUGAGGCUGCAACAUCAGGAAUACAGAUUGGUGCUAUGGCUUGGUGAUCUACACUGGGCCAGAUACCAAAUUAAUGCAGAAUAGUGGAAAGUCCACUUUUAAACGAACACAGAUAGACCAUCUCAUGAAUGUCCUUGUACUCUGGGCAUCGUGUGUUUUGUCCUAGCAGUUGGGCAUGGCAUUUGGCAGAACAAGAAAUGCUACCACUUCCAGAUUUUUCUGCCAUGGGUAAAAUAUGUCUCUUCAUCAGCUGUCUCUGCCAUCCUCAUAUUCUGGUCCUACUUCAUUAUUCUCAAUACCAUGGUGCCCAUUUCCCUCUAUGUCAGUGUUGAAAUAAUAAGAUUGGGCAACAGUUUAUAUAUCAACUGGGAUCGGAAGAUGUUUUAUGCACCAAGGAACACACCAGCACAGGUGAUACUUAUGACAAGGAUGGACAGAGGGUGACGGUCUCUGAGACAGUUUAUGAGACCUGGUUUAUCACAUGCUACAGUCUGGUCUACACUUCCCUCCCUGUCCUGUGCAUGAGUCUGUUUGAUCAGUAACCCAUAAGGAAGCUCCUAGGCAGCCUGGCAGCAGACCUGGUGAGGGGAGAAGCCUCUACUCUGAUGGAGAUGGGACCUUCUAUGGAGAGACCCUGAGCCUCCCUCCUUACCCUCGGGUGCUUCCAGGAUGUGAAUGAGACAUGGAGCCUCCAUUUCCCAGAGCUGUAUGAGCCAGGCCAGCACAACCUCUAUUUCAACAAGAAAGAAUUUGUGAAGUGUUU
rnacentral:lncRNA from 1 species